UGUGUAAACGGUUUCUCCAUAUAGUCAUUUAUUUCUAAAAUUAAAACAAACAUUACAUAAAAAGAUUUUUUUUGGAUUUCACAAAUCUUUCAUUUCUAUCAUCAGUUUCAUCACCUGAAGUUUCUAUAUAUACCUCCCUACUAUUAUUCUAAAAUGCAAGAUCUCAAAACUUAUUUAAAGUUUUUCCAUCCCCGAUGGAUAACUACCAAGAGGGUGAAAACAAGUUUAGAUUGCCUAAGAAAGCUUUUUCAUUUAUAGAAAUUGAUGGCAUGGGAAAAACAAGAGUUUGGAAUGAUGCUAUCAUUGCUUGAAACAUCCAUGGAAUGCUUCCCCGGCUGGUUCACGAGCCAACGCGCAUCCCUGCACAGUCUGUGCUGUUGAGGAUGGUGAACAACAUUUGUUCAUGGUCUGCGGGGAAGAUAUUGGAGCAUUCUGCGGAAAGAUUUCUCAUUUGAGAGGCAAUUUCUUUGAGUUGGGUUUUCCCAUUUUAGCCAUCAUGUUAGUUGGGGAAAGUGACAAGUUCGAUGCAAGCCCCUCAUUAUGGUAGCUCUUUCCUUAUGUUUUUGUCCUUGAUGAAAUCCGAAUACCUAAUGAGUGUUGUAGCAUACUCAUAACAUGUAAAAGAAAUUUGAUGUGGCAACUCAUUGGUGAUUGACAGCCAAUGCAAAAUCAUACUCAAAACAUAUAUGAAUGUACCAAUCGAAGUUCUAUCAACUGUUGUAGCGCCAGUGUUUUGGGACCAAUUGUGUUUCUUGGCGGCAGGGAGCAAUUUUCAUAAACUCUUUCUCUUGGAGGGGAAUUUUCCAUUGUCUUUGAAUCAAGAAUUAGAAUGAAGCAGAAUUACUCACGUCUAUCUGCAACUCCAAAGAGCAAAAGAUUCAACGUCAAGAAAGAGUACAUAGCUGGAUUAACAGAAAACAGUCCAUUUGCAUGGCCAAAAGAUAUACUUACAGAAAGCCAGGAAUAUCUAUCAGAUACAAUCAUUAAGUUCUAGUAGGGUUCAAUAAUUCUUUUUUUUUUUUUUUUUUCUUCUUUCAAGAAACAAAAACACACGGGAGAGGAAAAUGGGUUAUAACGCAAAGGCACACCACAACUCCACUCAAAAGUCAUGGUAAUUUUUAAGGGAGAUUGGAGCAAGUUAUACUACACAUAACACACCCUCUUAAGCAAUGUAGAGUUCAAUAAUUCAAUUUGAUGUGAUGAAUCACAUCUUGACUUUUUUGUCAUUUUCCCUAAU